GACCCAGUGGCGGAUGGUCCGCGCCCGCAGUAACUAGUCAACUGCUGCUCCUUAGCGGGAGGCGCUCGUUCGAAUCGAGUCUGGGUCA